rnacentral:lncRNA from 1 species
UAAGGGAUGUUAACUGAAAUUUUGAUCUCGCUUCCGCAUUUGAUAUAUUUAAAUACUCAUUUCAUUUUAAUGUUUCCGGGGCCGUUACAUUUUCUUUCAAACUAAUAUAUUGAGACAUAUUUACUUGCUUACGUUCCAAACUGGGACACCGUAAAAAUUUAUUUUUCAAUGAAAGAAGAAUGAAACUUAAAGCGAUACCAAAAAAUAUUUACUUACAAGAUCCACCCACAUUUUUUUUAAGUUCAAACUCCUGGACAGACACAGAAUUCAAUUGUCUCCGAAAAAAUCAAAAACCUUUUCUGUGGGUUCAAAAUGAAGAAUUACAACCUUUCUCACAUAAGUAAAUAUCCCGAUAAUCAAGCAUCCAUGUUUUAUGUCUGUGUCAAUUUGUCAACACUAUGUGAGAAAGUUAGCCGAAUCAUCAAGACAAAGUGUAUCAUCAAAGUAACUUUUUCUUUCAAACUAAUAUAUCGGGACAUAUUUACUUCCUUGCUUACGUUCCAAACUGGGACACCGUAAAAAUUUAAUUUUUAAAUGAAAGAAGCAAGAAACUUAAAGCGAUACCAAAAAAUAUUUACUCGAAAUCAGAAGAUCCAAUCACAUUUUUUUUAAGUUCAAAGUACCGGACGGACACAAAGAAUUUAAUUGUCUCCGAAAAAUUGAAAACAUUUUUUCGUGGGUUCAAAAUGAAGAGCUACAACCUUUCUCACAUAAGAUAAAUAUCCCGAUAACCAAGCAUCCAUGUUUUAUAUCUGCGCUAAUUUGUCAACUAUAUGUAAGAAAGUUUGCCAACUCUUCAAGAGAAAGUGUCAUCAAAGUAACUUUUUCUUUCAAACUAAUGUAUCGGAUCAUAUUUACUUGCUUGCUCACUUUUCAAACUGGAACAUUGUAAAAAAUCAUUUUUAAACGAAAGAAGCAAGAAACUUAAAACGAUAUAAAAAAAUAUUUACUUGCAAUGAGAAGAUCUAGCUAUUUUUGUUUUAAGUUCAAACUACUAGUGAGACACAAGGAAUUCUAUUUUCUCCGAAGAAAUCGAAAAGCUCUUCCUUAAACACGGAUACAAAUUUAUUUUCAAACAAUAAAUCAAUUUCCUCUCACUUUCAAUAAAAUAAAUUAAAGCACUUUUACUGACGAACAUAAACAAAUUUAGUUACCUGUUAUGGUUUAAAAAUGAAGAACGCCAACCAUUCUCACAUAAGAUAAAUAUCCCGAUAACCAAACAUUCAUAUUUAAUGUCUGUGCUAAUUUGUCAACUUUAUGUGAGAAAGUUAGCUGACUCUUCAAGACAAAGUGUGUCAUCAAAGUAAUUUUUUCUUUCAAAAUAAUAUAUUGAGACAUAUUUACUUGCUCGCUUACAUUCCAAACUAGGAUACCGUAAAAAUUUAUUUUUCAAUGACAUGAAAGAAGCAUGAAACUUUAAGCGAUACCAAAAAAUUUUUAGUUGAAGUCAGAAGAUCCAGCCACAUUUUUUUUUUUAAGUUAAAACUACUGGACGGACACAAAGAAUUCAACUGUCUCCGAAAAAAUCGAAAACCAUUUUCGUGGGUUCAAAAUGAAGAACGACAACUUUUCUCACAUAAGAUAUAUAUUUCGAUAACCAAGCAUCCAUGUUUUAUGUCUGCGUUAAUUUGUCAACUCUAUAUGAGAAAGUCUGUCUCUUCAAGAGAAAGUGUGAUAUCAAAGUAACUUUUUCUUUCAAACUAUAUACUGGAACAUAUUUACUUGCUCGCUCACUUUUCAAACUGGAAUAUUGUAAAAAGUCAUUUUUAAACGAAAUAAGCAAGAAACUAAAAACUAUACAAAAAAAAAAAAAAAAUUUACUUGCAAUUAGAAGAUCCAGCUAUUCUUGUUUUAAGUUCAAACUAUCAUUGAGACACAAGGAAUUCUACUUUCUCCAAAGAAAUCAAAAAGCUCUUCCUUAAAAAAUAGACGCCAAUUUAUUUUCAAGCAAUAAAUCAAUUUCCUCUUACUUUCAAUAAAAUAAAUUAAGGCACUUUUACUGACGAACAAAAACAAAUCUAGUUACCUGAUGUGGCUUCAAAAUGAAGAACGACAACCAUUCUCACAUAAGAUGAAUAUCCCGAUAACCAAACAUCCAUGUUUUAUGUCUGUGCUAAUUUGUCAACUUUAUGUGAAAAAGUUAGCCGACUCUUCAAGACAAAAUGUGUCAUCAAAGUAACUUUUUCUUUCAAACUAAUAUAUUGAGACAUAUUUACUUGUUUGCUUACGUUCCAAACUGGGAUAUCGUAAAAAUUUAUUUUUCAAUGAAAGAAGCAUUAAACUUAAAGCGAUACCAAAAAAUAUUUACUUGAAGUCAAAAGAUCUAGUCACAUUUUUUUUUUAAGUUCAAACUACCGGACAAACACAAAGAAUUCAAUUGUCUCCAAAAAAAUCAAAAAAAAUUUCGGUGGGUUCAAAAUGAAGAACUACAACAUUUCUCACAUAAGAUAAAUAUCCCGAUAACUAAGAAUCCAUGUUUUAUGUCUGCGCUAAUUUUUCAACUCUAUGUGAGAAAGUUUGCCAACUCUUCAACAGAAAGUGUCAUCAAAGUAACUUUUUAUUUCAAACUAAUAUAUCGGGACAUAUUACUUACUUGCUUACUUUUUAAACCGGGACACCAAAAAAAAAUUAUUUGAAAACAAAA